ACAGCGCACUCCCGUCGCGUGCCGCCCCAUGGCCCAGUGGAUGUUCCUGUAUCUGGAUACCGACUCUGAUGGUCAGCUGGAAGCGAGAGAGUUGUACGCCGUGGAGAGGGAUGAAAUGAGCCCUGUCUGAAGCCGUUCUGGACAGCUGCGACCUCAACAGCGACAUCUUCCUCACGACCAGAGAGUGGUGUACCUGCUUCCAGGCCGUACCGGCGCCCUGUAAGGACCGUCAGCGGGAGAACGCCGCCAGACUGGGAGCCUACACGCCGGCCUGCGACCAGGACGGUUUCUUCCGUCCGACCCAGUGCCACGGAUCGCAGUGCUGGUGUGCUGACCGGUACGGUGUCGAACAGAAGGGAACCCGCACGCGGCGCGGCAACACCAGAUGCGAUGGCGAGACCUCUCGCUAUGACGCCGAUUUCAACAUCGCCGACGAAGACGAUGAGGACAAUUACGUCGUGGAUGGCAGCGGCAGCGGACCUCUGCUUGAGUUCUAGAUGGCGCUGAUGUCGCCCACACCGGCCCAACGUCAUCUAGCGUGGCGUUUUCAGUGGUACAGGUGGCGCUAUCGGCGAUAUAGGUGGCGCUGUAACCGGUAAAGGCGGCGCUGUCGUCGGUAUAGAUGGCGCUAUCGCCGGUAUAGAGGGCGCUACGUGUGGAGCGUCAUCUUUGUCCAGUGGCACCACCUGUGCUAUGCGCCGCCCCUCUCUCCCGGCAGCUAAUUGGGCUCUGUUAGCGGUCACAUGACCCCGCCCUCUGCAUUCCCUCAUUAUUGGGGAAGCUUAGUUUGAGUUUUAGCGAGAACGGAACGAUAAGGAACUGACCCGAAUGAUCCUCUGUCUCUACAGAGUGAUGUGUAACGUCUGUAAGGGUCGGAUGGCGUUCAUUAAACAUUCCAAAUCGACAUUUGUGACUGCAUGUCACAUUGCUGAGACUGCUUCACCAUUUUACCUCUUUCCUAACCUAUGCUGUUCUUCGUCCGUUUCUUCGCCUUCCUCCCUCCCUCCCUCCUAUUGCUUGUUUUUUUUUUGCUAUUUUCGUUCCUUCGGUAGUAAACAGAAACUUGCGGCAGCUAACUACUUGAGCAAAACUGUAUGCACAGCACUGUGCAUACAGUUUUGCGUAUCGUAGUACCCUUCCGAUUACAUGAGGUCAAAAGCACUUCUUAACUCAAUGUGCUACACAUUCCAUUAUUUCGCCGUCCAUUUGUGCUUUUAGUUCGCCUCAGUUAUGACGUCAUAUUGUGACGUCACAGUGUACGGACCGCCGUCGGUGUUUGGCGUCGAAAAGGUCUUGCAGGUGUCUCAAACGCUCUCUUACCAUUUCGGCCGCAUGUGUGAGGUCACUGUGUGUCGCGCGUAUGACGUCACUUUUAGCCGCAUGUGACGUCACCGCUUAUGAUGACGUAACCAGGUGUUUUCGAAAGCACCAGUAGUGUUGGCAAGCAAUGCAGUGUACGUUUUUGAAACUGAAAAAUCUUUGCAAAAUUGUUUCCUGAUGCUUUGCUUUUAUUCAAGUUUUGUAUUAAUUGCGCAACAAUUGAAAACCGUGAGCGGUGAUAAUAUGUUACUAAAGUGACAUGAGAUAUGCUUUCACCUUAAAGUUCUAACAGCCUUACAGUCAAAACUCCAGGAUAUCUGAAUCAUGUGCUUGCGUCCUCAGUUUAAGGCUAAACCGAGCCAGAAGCUGCUCAUUUGCGACUUGAUGUAAGCUAACGUCCAAUAAUUGGCGAAUCCGAAUGUGCGUUUGGAUGCUCUAGAACGUAGCAAUCAGAACACAGUAGAUACACGCAGAGCCAUCUGUUCGGUGUCUACCGCUUCGCAGAGUCGUGGCGCGGCCCCGGAACGUCGUGCUCCAGCCAUCCGCGGGCUGGUAGAUCGCUCUACUUAACCACGAGUCGGUAGACUCGUUUCGAUUCCGUGCCAUUGUAUAAUAUACUACUAACUGAC
rnacentral:lncRNA from 1 species